rnacentral:rRNA from 1 species
AUUGAACGCUGGCGGCAGGCUUAACACAUGCAAGUCGAGCGGGGGAAGGUAGCUUGCUACCGGACCUAGCGGCGGACGGGUGAGUAAUGCUUAGGAAUCUGCCUAUUAGUGGGGGACAACAUCUCGAAAGGGAUGCUAAUACCGCAUACGUCCUACGGGAGAAAGCAGGGGAUCUUCGGACCUUGCGCUAAUAGAUGAGCCUAAGUCGGAUUAGCUAGUUGGUGGGGUAAAGGCCUACCAAGGCGACGAUCUGUAGCGGGUCUGAGAGGAUGAUCCGCCACACUGGGACUUAGACACGGCCCAGACUCCUACGGGAGGCAGUAGUGGGGAAUAUUGGACAAUGGGGGGAACCCUGAUCCAGCCAUGCCGCGUGUGUGAAGAAGGCCUUAUGGUUGUAAAGCACUUUAAGCGAGGAGGAGGCUACUCUAGUUAAUACCUAGGGAUAGUGGACGUUACUCGCAGAAUAAGCACCGGCUAACUCUGUGCCAGCCGCCGCCGUAA